UUUAUAUUAGUUGAAG
rnacentral:tRNA from 1 species